GACCUUAAAUUCUACUUUUCAAGAUCCUAACCCACUUAAACUUCAAUAGCUCUCAAUUAAGCUAUUAGAUCAAGGUAAAAUUUUCAACACAUAUUAAAUACAACUAUAACUAUUGAUCCACAAAAUUUCACUAAUGGAUCUACUAUAAAACUUCUAAAAUUAUCCAAAAUAUUAACCUUCUUUCAUUUCAUAAAAAUCCAAGUAAUUAGAAACAAUCUUAAUUUUGUAAAGCUCAUACAAAGUCAUUACAAAUCCAAAUUACAAAAAAUCAA
rnacentral:lncRNA from 1 species